rnacentral:rRNA from 1 species
UAUUGCACAAUGGGGUAAAUCCUGAUGCAGCGACGCCGCGAGAAGGAAGAAGUGUCCCGGUAUGUAAACUUCUAUCAGCAGGGAAGAAAAUGAAGGUACCUGACUAAGAAGCCCCGGCUAACUACAUGCCAGCAGCCGCGGUAAUACGUAGGGGGCAAGCGUUAUCCGGAUUUACUGGGUGUAAAGGGAGCGUAGACGGAAGAGCAAGUCUGAUGUGAAAGGCUGGGGCUUAACCCCAGGACUGCAUUGGAAACUGUUGUUCUAGAGUGCCGGAGAGGUAAGCGGAAUUCCUAGUGUAGCGGUGAAAUGCGUAGAUAUUAGGAGGAACACCAGUGGCGAAGGCGGCUUACUGGACGGUAACUGACGUUGAGGCUCGAAAGCGUGAGGAGCAAACAG